rnacentral:rRNA from 1 species
GACGAACGCUGGCGGCGUGCUUAACACAUGCAAGUCGAACGGAAAGGCCCUGCUUUUGUGGGGUGCUCGAGUGGCGAACGGGUGAGUAACACGUGAGUAACCUGCCCUUGACUUUGGGAUAACUUCAGGAAACUGGGGCUAAUACCGGUUAGGAGCUCCUGCUGCAUGGUGGGGGUUGGAAAGUUUCGGCGGUUGGGGAUGGACUUGCGGCUUAUCAGCUUGUUGGUGGGGUAGUGGCUUACCAAGGCUUCGACGGGUAGCCGGCCUGAGAGGGUGACCGGCCACAUGGGGACUGAGAUACGGCCCAGACUCCUACGGGAGGCAGCAGUGAGGAAUAUUGCACAAUGGGCGGAAGCCUGAUGCAGCAACGCCGCGUGCGGGAUGACGGCCUUCGGGUUGUAAACCGCUUUCGCCUGGGACGAAGCGUGAGUGACGGUAAUGGGAAAAGAAGCACCGGCUAACUACGUG